UCGUACUUGAUCAUUAGACAACAACCUUCUCUUCUUUUUCGGUGUUGGUGAUUGACAUCCACAAUGACUGCAUCUAAUAUGUCUUCGAGUUCUUUCUUAUUCUUUUUUUCUUGGUUAUUGUUUCCUUCUCGCAGAUGGCUGCACCAGCGUAUGUACCACAGUGUAAAAGAGGGGAGUCACGAAGGUCAUUAGGGGAAUGUGUUACUGGUGCUGGGCCUGUUGGCUGUAAAGAUAGAUGUACCAAAUCAUGCGAGGAUAGUGGGCUUCAACGGUCAGCCUCUUAUUGUUCACAAGGGGCCGGAUGCUGGUGUUGCUGUUCUUCUAAACCUCCAUCCCCGCCACCUUCGCCCUCUCCACCACCUCCUUCCCCUCCACCUUCCCCAUGCUCACCAAUCCAAAGUUGUCCAGCAGAGAUGGAAAUAUCAACAGCACCGGAUCAGGAACCAUGCAAGUACAUUCUAUCACCAUCAACUGGCAUUAGUUUAUAUUCCUUGGCUACAGCGUGAUUUAGUGUUGUUUGAAUCCGUGUUAACAAAUGUAAUGAUUACCUCGGCUAGUAUGUAUACUUGUUGUUCGCGUGUAUUUCAGUAUUUGCACCUGCUUGGUUAAAACACAAUAAAAAAACAAAAAAUGUUGAUGACAAUUGUAGGUGCUGCGGAUCAUAAAAGCAGCACCUGAAAUUCAGAAUGACAACAAACAUAUUACUACUA